AUUGUGGCCUCCAGCCACUGCAGUAGAAACGGAAUUUUGUCUGGGGUUGUAAAGGAACGGAAAAGGCUGGAAGACUUCUGGAAGCACCAUUUGGUGACUCUCUCUGCAAAGGGAAUUGAAUAUAACCCCGGCUCCAGAAUCUUGUCUGUCCCUGGGCACAGCCGAGUCAGCAGGAGGCAAGAGGAGGCAGGGCUCCUUUUCAGAGUUAGAGAGGGAGAAGGAGAGAGACAAAGAGGAAAGGAUGUAGGGGUCUUAGCCUUCGUUGCUGUGAAGAGAUACCACGCCCAAGGCAGGUCUUAUAAAGGAAAGCAUGUAAUUGGGGCUGGCCUACAUUCAGAGACUUAGUCCAUUAUCAUCACGGCAGGAAGCAUGUUGGGAUGCAGGCAGAAACGGUGCUGGAGAGGUAGCUGAGAGUUCUACAUGACACACUUCCUCUAACAAGGCCACUCCUACUCCAACAAGGCCAUGCAUCCCGAUAGUACCACUCCCUGUUGACCAAGCAUUCAAAUCUAUGAGCUUACGGAGUCAUUCCUGUUCAAACCACCACAGAAGAUGACAGAAGGGAGCAACAGGCCUGAACUCUAGCCAGGCUCCCAUGUGGAGCUUGGAACAUCCAAUCUGUGUACAAGAUUUGCAAAUUAACUAUUCAACUAAGGGCAUGAAGAAGCUGGUACAAGGCUGGCCUGCGGCACUCUGCAUGGAAGGCAGCGUCUAGUGUAGCUAGAAAGAAGAGCUGUUGUGCCAUACCCACUCCAGUGGAGUCUGCGUGACAAGUCCAAAAGCUUGGCCGCAGUCCUGAGGCACAAAGUUUCAAGGAAACUGGUCUCCUGGAAGUCCUUGGUGUCUCCUAACACAGAUGUGGUCCAGAUUUUUCCUUUCGAUAGUCGAUGAAGGGUUUUUGAGUGCUUUCUUUCAGUAUUGUUCUAUUAUAGGUGUAGAGGUGCCCGCAAGGAAUGAUUUGCAAAUAGCCAAGUUAAAUUGGAUAUUGUUUCCUGGCCUCCACCAGUGUUCCAAUCAAUCCUAGUCAAUGCUGAACCGACCCCAGGCUUGGAAUUUCAUAAAGAAUGUUACUUAUUCAGACAAAUUGCCUCCAGUGUUGAAAGAGAGAUAGAGAAAGAAAUCGGGCAUUGCAGUUUACUAGAUGAAAGUUAAUAAUCCCAGGGCAAGUUCAACAAAGUAAACCUAGAAUUCUCAUUACAGUCAUGUAUGGCAGACUACAUUACUUAAUAGAAGGAAGUUGGUAGGCUCCUCUGGUAAAUGGAAUUCCCCCACAAAUACUUAGAGUAACAGCGGAGUCACUCCCAUAUACAGGAAUUUACAAUGGUCUAGGAAGAAGGUGGGUUGUGGUUUAAGAAAGAGCUAGAGUAUUGUAUUAUUCACGGAAAGGUUAGCAAGAAUGGGACCCCUGGUGCAUACGUCCUAGCCCAGAAGAUUAGCAUAGUUGGGUGUUUACUAAGGGCUGGCUGGUGGUAGGUUAUACAAUAGACUAGAAUUGGAACUAUGGUUAGGGCAUGAAGCCUUUCAACCAUGACUUCUAAGAAUAAGCUGACCUUAGAUAAGGCUGACCUUAUCUCAGUUGUAACCACUGCCUGGCUCCUGCCUAUUUUCAUGUACACAUUUUUCUGGGUUUUUUUUUUAAAGAAUCAUUACGUAUCCGAUGACCUCGAUGUACCUUGGCUGUUGUAUUAUCUAACUUCCUUUUAUCUUCUGUAAUGACUAUAAAAGUCUGAUGCCUACUUUGAGAAAUUACACUCAGAUU